AGCGAACGCUGGCGGCAGGCCUAACACAUGCAAGUCGAACGAACCUUUCGGGGUUAGUGGCGGACGGGUGAGUAACACGUGGGAACGUGCCUUUAGGUUCGGAAUAACUCAGGGAAACUUGUGCUAAUACCGAAUGUGCCCUUCGGGGGAAAGAUUAAUCGCCUUUAGAGCGGCCCGCGUCUGAUUAGCUAGUUGGUUGAGGUAAUGGCUCACCAAGGCGACGAUCAGUAGCUGGUCUGAGAGGAUGAUCAGCGACAUUGGGACGGAGAAACGGCCCAAACUCCUACGGGAGGCAGCAGAGGGGAAUCGUGCGAAAUGGGCGAAAGACUGACGCAGCCAUGACGCGUGAAUGAUGAAGGUCUUAGGAUUGUAAAAUUCUUUCACCGGGGACGAUAAUGACGGUACCCGGAGAAGAAGCCCCGGCUAACUUCGUG
rnacentral:rRNA from 1 species